CUGGACUCCAUUCGGCUGUGAAGAGCUCGAGUUUUGCAUAAGCAACAUAUGGACAAUGUUUUUAAAUCACAGAACGUGUCUCAUGAAGAGGUUCAGUCUCCUGAGUCUCUGUCUGUUAAAGCAGAAGAUUCUGUCUCUAUCAGCUGCACUGGGACCAGCGGAGUUGGUGAUGACAUGAGCUGGUAUCUGCAGAAACCUGGAGAAGCUCCUAAACUCCUGAUCUACGAUGCCAGCAAUCUUGCAUCUGGAGUUUCAGACCGGUUCAGUGGAACUUAUUCUGGAUAUGAAUUUACACUGAACAUACGUGGAGUCCAGCUUGAGGAUGCAGGAGUUUAUUACUGUAUGGGGUAUUAUAGUGGUGGAGUGUGCACACAGUGAAACAGCAUCGUACAAAAACCUCCCUCAGC